AUUAUUGGAAAUGAAAUGUUAUUCGUUUAUUAAGAUAUCUAGUUUUUUUAGAAAUAAAUUUAAUUUAAAAGUUUUUAAUUUUAUUAAUUAUUUAUAUUAAUUAAUAAAUUUAUAAAUUUUAAUAUUUUAAGGGAUAAGCUUUAAAAUAAAUUUUUAUAAAUUAAUGAAUGAUAAUUUAAAUUAUAUACAUAGAAUUAGUAAUUAUUAAAAAAUUUGUUAUAAAUUAUUUUAUAAUAUAUAUAUUAUUUAUUAUAAUUUUAAAUUUUUAUAAAAAUAUAUUUUUUAAUUUUAUUAAAAAAGUAAUAAUGAUAAAAUUAGUAUAUUUAUAUUAUGUAAAUAUAAUUUAUUUUGAUAAGUUUAUAUAAAGAACUCGGCAAAUAUUUUACUCGCCUGUUUAACAAAAACAUGUCUUUUUGUGUUAUUUUUAAAGUCUAACCUGCCCAAUGAAUUAAUUUAAUGGCCGCAGUAUUUUGACUGUGCAAAGGUAGCAUAAUCAUUAGUCUUUUAAUUGAAGGCUUGAAUGAAUGGUUGGACGAAGUAUAAUCUGUUUCAUUUAAAUUUAUUAUAGAAUUUUAUAUUUUAGUAAAAAAGCUAAAAUAUUUUUAAAAGACGAGAAGACCCUAUAAAUCUUUAUAAUUUAUAUUAUUUUUAUUUUUUAUAUUUAUUUUAUUUAAAUAAUUUAAAUUAUUUUGUUGGGGUGAUAUUAAAAUUUAAUAAACUUUUAAUUAAUUAUUUCAUUAAUUUAUGUUUUAUUGAUCCAUUAAUAAUGAUUAAAAGAAUAAGUUACUUUAGGGAUAACAGCGUAAUUUUUUUGGAGAGUUCUUAUUGAUAAAAAAGUUUGCGACCUCGAUGUUGGAUUAAGAUAUAAUUUUAGGUGUA
rnacentral:rRNA from 1 species